rnacentral:rRNA from 1 species
UACGUAGGUGGCGAGCGUUGUCCGGAAUUACUGGGUGUAAAGGGCGCGUAGGUGGCUAAGUAAGUUAGAUGUGAAAGGCUGAGGCUUAACCUCAGGAAUGCAUCUAAAACUGCAUAGCUUGAGUGCGAGAGAGGAGAGUGGAAUUCCUAGUGUAGCAGUGAAAUGCGUAGAUAUUAGGAGGAACACCAGUGGCGAAGGCGGCUCUCUGGCUCGCAACUGACGCUGAGGCGCGAAAGCAUGGGUAGCAAAC